UGCGAGUCGAGAGGGUUCGGCCCUCGGCGAACUGCUCAGUAACACGUGGAUAAUCUAACCUUAGGUGGAGGAUAACCUCGGGAAACUGAGAAUAAUACUCCAUAGAUCUUUGAGGCUGGAAUGCGCUUAGAUUGAAAGCUCCGGCGCCUAAGGAUGAGUCUGCGGACUAUCAGGUAGUAGUCAGGGUAAUGACCUGACUAGCCUACGACGGAUACGGGUUGUGAGAGCAAUAACCCGGAGAUGAUAUCUGAGACACGAUAUCAGGCCCUACGGGGCGCAGCAGGCGCGAAACCUUCACAAUGUGCGAAAGCGCGAUGAGGGGAUCCCAAGUGCUUGCACGUAAGUGUAAGCUGUUUCUUUGUUUAAAAAGCAGAGAGAGUAAGGGCUGGGUAAGACGGGUGCCAGCCGCCGCGGUAAUACCUGCAGCUCAAGUGGUGGCCGCUAUUAUUGGGCCUAAAACGUCCGUAGCCGGCUGAGUAAAUGCCUGGGUAAAUCGUGUGGCUUAACCAUACGAAUUCCGGGUAGACUGCUCAGCUUGAGACCGGAAGAAGUUAGAGGUACUCCUGGGGUAGGGGUGAAAUCCUGUAAUCCUGGGGGGACCACCAGUGGCGAAGGCGUCUAACUAGGACGGGUCUGACGGUGAGGGACGAAACCCUGGGGCGCAAACCGGAUUAGAUACCCGGGUAGUCCAGGGCGCAAACGCUGC
rnacentral:rRNA from 1 species